GGUGUCCCUGUGUGGUUUAGAGUUUGUAAAAAGCUUUUUACAAGAUAGUGAAAAUCUCAAGCGGGUUGCUUGGGGAUUGGACGUAGGCACAAGGCAUGGCCAAACCAGUAUAAAAUAUGAGUUUGCAUUCUCUCUUCCUUUAAACUUGUUUUAUUUAUUGCUAUUUAUCUUUUGCUUUAAAGAAGUUUAUUUUGAAUUGUCUUUUGAGUAAUUCAUAUUAAGAUGGGGCACGUGGAAUCCCGUGUGUAUCAGCAAGGACCACCUUGCAAGGCUAAAUACUCCUGGGUGACCGAUAGUGAAGUAGUACCGUGAGGGAAGGGUGAAAAGAACCCCCAUCGGGGAGUGAAAUAGAACAUGAAACC
rfam:Glycine soja cultivar W05 scaffold3006_6, whole genome shotgun sequence.